ACCAUCCUUAUCUUGGGGUUGCACUACUGUUCAAUGAAUGCCUAGUGAGAACAGUACCACUAACACCUACACAACACAUAGGCUGGUGACCCCAGGGACAGAUGAUCUAGUGAGGUAGCUCCAUUAUUUUUAACA